AGGGCCUCACCAUUCUAGCUCU
rnacentral:miRNA from 1 species